rnacentral:misc_RNA from 1 species
AUUGCCGGUUGAGAAGAACAAUAAGAAAAGUCUCCCCCUCUAUUUUCUCUCAGAAAUAUCUAUAAUACGCAACAAUUAUGAGAUAUUUCACCACAAUUACUUGCUCUAUUUGUAUUUAAAUGGAUCAAGAAUUCCUAUGCCAGUAUGCUAAAGAGAAGGAAGAAAUACGGGAAUGGAAACAAGUCAAGACAUAACAAAUGAGUAAAAAACCAUCAAAGAAAAACUAGAAAGAAUAAUCUAAACUCACAGAAAAAUUGG